rnacentral:lncRNA from 1 species
UCCCACAAAAAUUUAAAAACUACUCCCUAAAAUCCCCAAAUAAGGAUCAGUAAUUGAAGGGUUUUGGCACUGUUAGCGGGCCCCACCGACACGUGGCAAUCCACGAUUGGUUUAUUUUAUAUAUAUAUACUUUUUUUUAGAAAACAAAAAAAAAAGAAAAAAAAAACAAAACUUAAGGACCCAAGCGAUAAUCAUGGUCUUAGCACAUAAACAACAAGUUUUUUAUUUAAAGCACACAUAGUUUGGUUGCUAGCAGUAUUUUUACACCUGACUUGGAAAACUCAUCAGUUAUCCGAUAAGUAAUCCAAUUUGAGUUUUAAAAAAUAUUUAUAAUUUAAAAGUGAUAAAUUCUGUAAAAAUCACUAAACCCCGCAAUUCCGCUAUCAGUUAAAC